rnacentral:rRNA from 1 species
ACGGCGAGUGAAGCGGCAAAAGCUCAAAUUUGAAAUCUGGUACCUUCGGUGCCCGAGUUGUAAUUUGGAGAGGGCAACUUUGGGGCCGUUCCUUGUCUAUGUUCCUUGGAACAGGACGUCAUAGAGGGUGAGAAUCCCGUGUGGCGAGGAGUGCGGUUCUUUGUAAAGUGCCUUCGAAGAGUCGAGUUGUUUGGGAAUGCAGCUCUAAGUGGGUGGUAAAUUCCAUCUAAAGCUAAAUAUUGGCGAGAGACCGAUAGCGAACAAGUACAGUGAUGGAAAGAUGAAAAGAACUUUGAAAAGAGAGUGAAAAAGUACGUGAAAUUGUUGAAAGGGAAGGGCAUUUGAUCAGACAUGGUGUUUUGUGCCCUCUGCUCCUUGUGGGUAGGGGAAUCUCGCAUUUCACUGGGCCAGCAUCAGUUUUGGUGGCAGGAUAAAUCCAUAGGAAUGUAGCUUGCCUCGGUAAGUAUUAUAGCCUGUGGGAAUACUGCCAGCUGGGACUGAGGACUGCGACGUAAGUCAAGGAUGCUG